GCCACCUGCAUGGGAAAUCUGAUGGCAGCCUGCAUUCUAUGGGGACUUGACUUGUGUUUCGUGGAGGUUGAGUGCAGGAUGGUUAGCGACCCAGCAAUGACCACCUGUCUCACAAGAUGCCCCAUGCAUAGGUAGAAGACGGCACUCACGUGGCUGUGGUACUCUGGAUCUCAACCUUCCCUGACUGAGCUGGGCUACGAACUCCAGACCACGAAACUUUCUGCAGAAACCACGCAGUAGUUGGCCAAAGUAAGGAAAGCACAACACUUGGGAUUCAUCUGACAAGCAGCUUCACAGGCAGACGUACUCACCGAAGAAUAUAGAGCCUCGGAGAUGUUUCUACCCUAAUCCUCAGGAAAAUCCACUUCCAGCCCGUUAUCUGACCAAAGAGAGCAGUCCGUUUAAAUUUGAAUAUGGAAAUUCUUCUGGCCAAUGAGACCAGAAGGGAAAUCUGAGGAAAGUUCCUGGGAAACGUUUCCUUGCUCUUAAAAUGAAACAGACAAGAAGAAAUGGUUGGUGUCUCCACAUCAGGGCCCUGAUGUGAGGGUCUGUGAGGUCCACAUGCUUUUGUGGAUGCAGGGGAAUCCCUGGACGACAGAGUCCUUACUCUGAGGAGAGCAGAGAGGAAAAUGAGAAUAACCCAGGCCCCUCAUGGCGACCCGAAAGCCCGCCUCCUUCAUUACUUAGGCCAUUGAAUAUAAGCAGUUUUCCUGUUCUUUGACUGGGAAUUGUUACCGCUUUCCGCUGAUGGAGCCUGGUGACAGGCACACGCCUGGCUCCCUGAGGAUGGAAGUCUGCAGCAGGACGCCUCUCACCCUCUCAGCCUUACAAGUCACCCAUCACAAUUCUGGACUUUGAGUAUUCUUGGGGGCACCAUUAGA